GCGCCCCUAACUCGGCUGGAUAGAGCGCCACCCUCCGAACGUGGAGGCCACACGCUCGAAUCGGGUCGGGCGCGCCA
rnacentral:tRNA from 1 species